UACGUAGGGUGCGAGCGUUGUCCGGAAUUAUUGGGCGUAAAGAGCUCGUAGGCGGUCUGUCGCGUCGAUCGUGAAAACUUGGGGGCUUAACCCUGAGCUUGCGGUCGAUACGGGCAUGACUGGAGUUCGGCAGGGGAGACUGGAAUUCCUGGUGUAGCGGUGAAAUGCGUAGAUAUCAGGAGGAACGACCGGUGGCGAAGGCGGGUCUCUGGGCCGAUACUGACGCUGG
rnacentral:rRNA from 1 species